UACGUAGGGUGCGAGCGUUAAUCGGAAUUACUGGGCGUAAAGCGUGCGCAGGCGGUUGUGCAAGACAGAGGUGAAAAUCCCCGGGCUUAACCUGGGAAUGGCCUUUGUGACUGCACGGCUAGAGUGUGUCAGAGGGGGGUAGAAUUCCACGUGUAGCAGUGAAAUGCGUAGAGAUGUGGAGGAAUACCGAUGGCGAAGGCAGCCCCCUGGGAUAACACUGACGCUCAUGCACGAAAGCGUGGGGAGCAAACAGG
rnacentral:rRNA from 1 species